GUUAAUGGGGUUUUUCUAAGUCCCGACCCAGCCAUUUUAGGAGGAAAAAUAUAUGGACCUGCAGCGGGAUAUUUUGAGGAUGCAAGUGGACAACUUGCACAACUUGUCCACUUGUGUGCCACUUGCAAGCUAGACGCGAGUUGUAUGCAAGCUAGGCACGAGUUGGCGACAACUUGCAAGGCAAGUUGUAAUACCAUCCACUUGAAGAUAACUAAGGAUGAGUUGGCGACAACCAAGCACGAGGUGGCGACAACCAAGCGCAAGUUGUAAAGUGGAAGGUUAAGGAGGUUUAAGUUUUCUAUAAAUAGAGAGGUAGUCUCAUUUGUAAAUGGUAUGGAGUAGAGGUUAGAGAGUGUAGAGAAUAUAAGAGUGAAGAGAGUUUAUUCAUUAGAGAGAUUGUAAAGUUUUUCCUUUCAUUUAUAUAAAGAAAGUUUCCCCAAUCCUUACUUGUUUUAGCCUCAUUGGUUAAAUUAUUUGUGGGCGUGGAAAGGCUGACUUAACGUUUUCUCGUGAGGUGCGGGAAUUGUAGAACGUUAAGGCCGCACGGUUCUAGUUUGUUCGGGUGUAACGAAACUAGGCCCGUGACACUCAGCCCACUUCAUCAUCUUUGGAGCAAUAAAGCAAAGUAGAUCCAAUAGAGUUCUCACAGUGUAUGCUUUUUCCUCAGCAAUGUUUUGGAUGCUUUCUUAGUUCAUCUCAUUAUAUUCCAUCUAUACUUCGCCACAUGAUGAGUAGGAAUUUGGGGAGCUGUCACCGUGAACAAAUUCCUGUUUCUGUGCUCAUUUAGUUUGAAGAAUAAAGAUAAUUAGGAUUUUAAAACUCAAAUGACUUCAAGAGUUAUUCAUUUAGCAACACUUUGUUGGGCUUAUUAUUCAUUUGACGUCGUUCAAUAUCGUAUCAGAAAAGUGUGGUCAUGAAUUGCAACAUAAAAGACGGGGGAAAGUUAUACCUCAGAACCAUAACAGGGAGUUGUGAUGACGGCAAGUCUAGCGAUGCCUUCCCAAAAGAAAUAAUUCGUCCAUACUUUGUUAGUUCUUGUACUCGGAAACUGGUCCCUCCUUUAGUAUUAUUUUCAUUCUUCCCAUUAUUGUACUUUUUCGUUUCCGAAUCACAUACAUGGCCUUCUUUUGGAGACCAAUCCAAGUUAUCCCAAAUGGUCUCUCCUUCUUUAGGUAUCAAAGAGAUUAUGGAGUCCCAUGUUCUUGAGACGCGCAUGACACUCUCUAGAGUUUGAAGGCCGAGAAAGUCAGAAUCUAGAAGACCAGGAGCCAUAGCUCUGCAAUUAUCAUAAGCAGAAUUUGAGUACCUUGUGCCAUAAUGUUUUUUCCACAAAUUCUUUAUAUUUACAUUGCGAUGAAACUA